GGAAACGCCCGGUCCCAAUCCGAACCCGGAAGCUAAGCCCUCCAGCGCCGAUGGUACUGCACUCGACAGGGUGUGGGAGAGUAGGACACCGCCGAAC
rnacentral:rRNA from 1 species